rnacentral:rRNA from 1 species
AUUGAACGCUGGCGGCAGGCCUAACACAUGCAAGUCGAGCGGAUGAAGGGAGCUUGCUCCUGGUUCCAGCGGCGGACGGGUGGGUAAUGCCUAGGAAUCUGCCGGGUAGUGGGGGAUAACGUCGGGAAAGGGGCGCUAAUACCGCAUACGUCCUGAGGGGGAAAGUGGGGGAUCUUCGGACCUCCCGCUAUCAGAUGAGCCUAGGUCGGAUUAGCUAGUUGGGGGGGUAAAGGCCUACCAAGGCGACGAUCCGUAACUGGUCUGAGAGGAUGAUCAGUCACACUGGAACUGAGACACGGUCCAGACUCCUACGGGAGGCAGCAGUGGGGAAUAUUGGACAAUGGGCGAAAGCCUGAUCCAGCCAUGCCGCGUGUGUGAAGAAGGUCUUCGGAUUGUAAAGCACUUUAAGUUGGGAGGAAGGGCAGUAAGUUAAUACCUUGCUGUUUUGACGUUACCAACAGAAUAAGCACCGGCUAACUUCGUG